CUACUAGUGAUAGUUAGCAGGCGGAGGGUGAGUAACACGUAGGCCACCUGCCCUCAAGACAGGGAUAACUACCGGAAACGGUGCUAAUACCGGAUAAUUUAUUACAUAGCAUUAUGUGAUAAUGAAAGACGGAGCAAUCUGUCACUUGGGGAUGGGCCUGCGGCGCAUUAGCUAGUUGGUGGGGUAACGGCCCACCAAGGCGACGAUGCGUAGCCGACCUGAGAGGGUGAACGGCCACACUGGGACUGAGACACGGCCCAGACUCCUACGGGAGGCAGCAGUAGGGAAUCUUCCGCAAUGGGCGAAAGCCUGACGGAGCAACGCCGCGUGAGUGAUGAAGGUUUUCGGAUCGUAAAGCUCUGUUGCCAAGGAAGAACGUCUCAUAGAGUAACUGCUAUGAGAGUGACGGUACUUGAGAAGAAAGCCCCGGCUAACUACGUGCCAGCAGCCGCGGUAAUACGUAGGGGGCAAGCGUUGUCCGGAAUUAUUGGGCGUAAAGCGCGCGCAGGCGGUUCUUUAAGUCUGGUGUUUAAACCUGGGGCUCAACUUCAGGUCGCACUGGAAACUGGGGAACUUGAGUGCAGAAGAGGAGAGUGGAAUUCCACGUGUAGCGGUGAAAUGCGUAGAUAUGUGGAGGAACACCAGUGGCGAAGGCCACUCUUUUGGCUGUAACUGACGCUUAGGCGCGAAAGCCUGCUGAGCAUACCCGAAUAGAUACCCCCGUUCUCCCCGCGCUAAAAGAUGACUGCUAGGUGUUAGGGGUUUCGAUACCCUUGGUGCCGAAGUUAACACAUUAAGCAUUCCGCCUGGGGAGUACGGUCGCAAGACUGAAACUCAAAGGAAUUGACGGGGACCCGCACAAGCAGUGGAGUAUGUGGUUUAAUUCGAAGCAACGCGAAGAACCUUACCAAGUCUUGACAUCCCUCUGAAUCUGCUAGAGAUAGAAGCGGCCUUCGGGACAGAGGAGACAGGUGGUGCAUGGUGGUCGUCAGCUCGUGUCCUGAGAUGUUGGGUUAAGUCCCGCAACGAGCGCAACCCUUGAUUUUAGUUGCCAGCAGGUACGGCUGGGCACUCUAGAAUGACUGCCGGUGACAAACCGGAGGAAGGCGGGGAUGACGUCAAAUCAUCAUGCCCCUUAUGACUUGGGCUACACACGUACUACAAUGGCUGGUACAACGGGAAGCGAAGCCCCGAGGGGAGCCAUCCUAUAAAGCCGUCUCAGUCGGGAUGCCGGCUGCAACUAGCUGCUUGAUGCGGAAACGCUCUUACCGGGAAAUGCAUUCCUCCCACAGUGCCC
rnacentral:rRNA from 1 species